rnacentral:rRNA from 1 species
GACGAACGCUGGCGGCGUGCUUAACACAUGCAAGUCGAACGGAAAGGCCCUGCUUUUGUGGGGUGCUCGAGUGGCGAACGGGUGAGUAACACGUGAGUAACCUGCCCUUGACUUUGGGAUAACUUCAGGAAACUGGGGCUGAUACCGGAUAGGAGCUCCUGCUGCAUGGUGGGGGUUGGAAAGUUUCGGCGGUUGGGGAUGGACUCGCGGCUUAUCAGCUUGUUGGUGGGGUAGUGGCUUACCAAGGCUUUGACGGGUAGCCGGCCUGAGAGGGUGACCGGCCGCAUUGGGACUGAGAUACGGCCCAGACUCCUACGGGAGGCAGCAGUGGGGAAUAUUGCACAAUGGGCGGAAGCCUGAUGCAGCAACGCCGCGUGCGGGAUGACGGCCUUCGGGUUGUAAACCGCUUUCGCCUGUGACGAAGCGUGAGUGACGGUAAUGGGUAAAGAAGCACCGGCUAACUACGUG